CCUGGAGACUCUACGGGAGGCCGCAGUAGGGAAUCUUCCGCAAUGGGCGAAAGCCUGACGGAGCAACGCCGCGUGAGUGAAGAAGGAUUUCGGUUCGUAAAGCUCUGUUGUUAGGGAAGAAUGGAUAUGUAGUAACUAUACAUGUACGAGACGGUACCUAACCAGAAAGCCACGGCUAACUACGUGCCAGCAGCCGCGGUAAUACGUAGGUGGCAAGCGUUGUCCGGAAUUAUUGGGCGCAAAGCGCGCGCAGGUGGUUUAAUAAGUCUGAUGUGAAAGCCCACGGCUCAACCGUGGAGGGUCAUUGGAAACUGUUAAACUUGAGUGCAGGAGAGAAAAGUGGAAUUCCUAGUGUAGCGGUGAAAUGCGUAGAGAUUAGGAGGAACACCAGUGGCGAAGACGGCUUUUUGGCCUGUAACUGACACUGAGGCGCGAAAGCGUGGGGAGCAAACAGGAUUAGAAACCCGUGUAGUCCU
rnacentral:rRNA from 1 species